UGGAGUCUUUCAGAGUGCUAAACACUGACACAUGGCCAGAGGACCAGGCCAGCCUUCUCUCUUUUGGUGAUGUGGCAGACCUGAUCGGUGUGCAACAUGGCUGCAAUGCAGGAUGAGUGGCAGGGGCUGAAAAUCAGCCACAAUUUCAAGGACAAGACCUACAGUGGCCUGUGGGAGACCAUGUUGACAAAGGACCCCUACAGGUUAGAUUACAAGGUAGGCCUGCAGUAGUACUGAGUGGCUGUGUAUGGUAUCCUUCUAUGGUUGGUUUUGAUAAGUUAAGCGUUGUAAGCGUUUAAAUGAAAUUGAAAAGUAUCAUCUUUUCUCUAGAACAUACUGGAGUUGGUGCAGAUUACGCUGAUGCUGCCCAUUUCAGUGCCUUCAUGUUUAAACUUCUUCGUUAGAAUAAUCUCAGAUUAUUGUUUGAAAUUUUCAGCUGUUUGAAAUGAUAUCCUAGUCUGAAACCAUCAUGUUUUCCCAGUGUCAGAGAAAAUUAAAGAUGAAACUGCUAUUUGGGUUUGUAGAGUCACAGCUACAUGGUCAGAACUAGCUACAGUCCCUUCUGAAACUAUUGGAGCGGUGAGACCAGUUCAUUUGUUUGUGCUGUACACCAAAGACAUUUGGGUUUGAGAUCAUAAGAUGGAGAUGAGACGAGAGUUUAGGACUGAGGGUGAUGAACAGCUUUCAGAAUCAGAAUAAGAUUUACUUGCCAAGUAUGCUUGAGUAUACAAGGAAUUUGUUGCUGAUUUAUAGCGAUAUAUACGCUAAGUGCAUUUACACAUACAGUGCUGCAUAUAAACAAGACACAGAGUAAUACAAAAAAUAAAAAUAAAAUAAAAAAAUAAAACACUAAUGACAUACCACAGGACAGUUUACACCCCAAAAAAUAAUAAUAAAUAAAAUGUCAAAAAAAAUUGUUGACUCAACUUACAACAUAAAGUGGCCUUUUUCCAUGUUUUUUUUUUUUUUUUUUUUAGUUUUAUGAACUUCAAUACAAAAGUUCACUUAAAGUAAUUGUAACUUAUAAAAUGUAGUUAGGAAAAGUUAAGUCGUCUCAACUUCUUUAUUCAACUGCAAAGUUGCCUCAACUAGCAUUUAAGUUAGAUGUACUCAAUAUAAGUACUAUAAAUAUAUAUUUAAUAUUUAUACCAUAAAUAUUAGUAAAUAAAUAAAAUUGUAUCCAAAAUGAGAAUAAAAGUAUAAAAUUAACAACAAAAAAAAAACAGCAUUAUCACACUUCAAAGGCUCAGCACAUGUAUUGUCUACAAACACGCAGUAUAAGCCUUGUACACAAGUUGACCAAUAAAAUAUUGCUGAAGCACACAAACCAA